GAUUUAUGAAUAUAGUGGUAAGUAUUCCCGCUUGUUAUGCGGGUGACCCGGGUUCGAUCCCCGAUAACGGCA
rnacentral:tRNA from 1 species